rnacentral:SRP_RNA from 1 species
GCCAGGUGUGGCGGUGCAUGCCUGUAAUCCCAGCUACUCAGAAGGCUGAGGCAGGAGGAUCAUUUGAGCCCAGGAGGCCAAAGGUGCAGUGAGCUAUGAUCACACCACUGCACUUCAGCCUGGGCAACAGAGAAAGACCCUGUCUCAA